CCUACGGGUGGCAGCAGUGGGGAAUAUUGGACAAUGGGGGGAACCCUGAUCCAGCCAUGCCGCGUGUGUGAAGAAGGCCCUCGGGUUGUAAAGCACUUUCAGUGAGGAAGAACGCCUGGUGGUUAAUACCCAUCAGGAAAGACAUCACUCACAGAAGAAGCACCGGCUAACUCCGUGCCAGCAGCCGCGGUAAUACGGAGGGUGCGAGCGUUAAUCGGAAUUACUGGGCGUAAAGCGCGCGUAGGUGGCUUGAUAAGCCGGUUGUGAAAGCCCCGGGCUCAACCUGGGAACGGCAUCCGGAACUGUCAAGCUAGAGUGCAGGAGAGGAAGGUAGAAUUCCCGGUGUAGCGGUGAAAUGCGUAGAGAUCGGGAGGAAUACCAGUGGCGAAGGCGGCCUUCUGGACUGACACUGACACUGAGGUGCGAAAGCGUAGGUAGCAAACAGGAUUAGAUACCCCUGUAGUC
rnacentral:rRNA from 1 species